AGUUUGAUCCUGGCUCAGAACGAACGUUGGCGGCGUGGAUUAGGCAUGCAAGUCGAACGAAUCCCAGUUGGGCAACUGACUGGGGGGAGUGGCGAAAGGGGCAGUAAGGCAUGGGUAACCUACCCUGGAGUUCAGGAUAGCCUUCCUAACGGAAGGGUAAUACUGAAUGACGUGUCGGCCAAGCAUUUGACCGACAGGAAAGCUCCGGCGCUCCGGGAGGGGCCCAUGUAGUAUUAGCUAGUUGGUGAGGUAAUGGCUCACCAAGGCCAAGAUGCUUAGCAGGUGUGAGAGCACGACCUGCGCCACUGGCACUGGGACACUGGCCAGACUCCUACGGGAGGCUGCAGUCGAGAAUCUUCGGCAAUGGGCGCAAGCUGAACCGAGCGACGCCGCGUGUGCGAUGAAGGCCUUCGGGUUGUAAGCACUGUCGAGGGGAAGAAAGGCAACUUGAUCGACCCUGGAGGAGCACGGGCUAAGUUCGUGCAGCAGCCGCGGUAAGACGAACCGUGCAAACGUUGUUCGGAAUCACUGGGCUUAAGGGCGCGUAGGGGCCUGCCAGUCUGGGUGAAAGCCACGCCUACCCGUGGAG
rnacentral:rRNA from 1 species